CCCGCACAAGCGGUGGAGUAUGUGGUUUAAUUCGAUGCAACGCGAAGAACCUUACCAGGACUUGACAUCCCGCGAAUCUCGAUGAAAGUUGAGAGUGCCUUCGGGAACGCGGAGACAGGUGGUGCAUGGCUGUCGUCAGCUCGUGUCGUGAGAUGUUGGGUUAAGUCCCGCAACGAGCGCAACCCUCGUCCUUAGUUGCCAGCAUUAGGUUGGGCACUUUAAGGAGACUGCCGGUGACAAACCGGAGGAAGGUGGGGAUGACGUCAAGUCAGCAUGCCCCUUACGUCCUGGGCUACACACGUACUACAAUGGUGGGGACAAAGGGCAGCCAGCGAGCAAUCGUCAGCGAAUCUCAGCAAACCCUGCCUCAGUUCAGAUUGCAGGCUGCAACUCGCCUGCAUGAAGGAGGAAUCGCUAGUAAUCGCAGGUCAGCAUACUGCGGUGAAUCCGUUCCCGGGCCUUGUACACACCGCCCGUCACACCAUGGAAGCUGGUCACGCCCGAAGUCGUUACCCUAACCCUGUUUGGGAGGGGGAUGCCGAAGGCAGGACUGGUGACUGGGGUGAAGUCGUAACAAGGUAACCGU
rnacentral:rRNA from 1 species